rnacentral:rRNA from 1 species
GAUAAACGCUGGCGGCGUGCCUAACACAUGCAAGUCGAACGCCCUUUUGCGCAAGUGAGAGGGAGUGGCGGACGGGUGAGUACCACGUGGGUACCUACCUUGAGGUGAGGAAUACCACCGAGAAAUACGGUGACAAGACCGCAUACGCUUGGCAACAAGCAAAGUCUCGCAAGAGACGCCACAAGAUGGGCCUGCGCCUGAUUAGCUAGUUGG